rnacentral:misc_RNA from 1 species
GAGUCGUAACAAGGUUUCCGUAGGUGAACCUGCGGAAGGAUCAUUAAUGAAUUUUUACAGAGGGUUGAUGCUGGCAGUUUAUCUGCAUGUGCUCACUCUUCUGAUUUACUUACACCUGUGCACUUAAUUUUUUUUCAAAGGCUUAGGGGUAAAACCUGCCUUUGGGACUUACAAACCCCCUAUAUUUGAGACAAUGAAUGUUUAUCUGCCGUAAGGCAAAUCUUUUAUACAA